UGGAGCGCAACUUGGCGUGGAGCCUGGGACAUUUUAUGAGGGCCAGAUGGCUGGACUCUGUGCAUUGUCAGUGUUGUGGGGUGGGCGACCGAGGGUCUUAGGGGCAGGCCUCAGCACUAGAGCCAGGAGAGUUGGAGAAAACUGCAAACUCAUGCGGGGCAGCCUCCUCCUCCUGACUGACUGCCGUCUUCAUGGUGUGCUCCUUCCCACCAGCGCUCUCAGAAUCCGGAGCAGGUAGUGUAGCCUCUGAUCACACAGGUUGGGCCAUUGGAUGUUCUUCCAGACACUGCUGGACAAUGCACAAGGAAACCUGAGCUUGUUGGAACAAAGAGCAAGGAGAUAAAAGAUGCACAAACAAGACGGGGGAGCGCAGGGAGCUGUGAGCUCGCAGGUGGAGGGCUGGGCGCGGCUUCUGGAGAUGGCAGAGAGGCGGCCAAUCUGGAGGAGGGAGCAAGAGAGCGAGGAGGCGUGGCCUCCAUCUGUCCUGCGGGUUGCCAGGGUCUGCAGGAAGCCGUUCCCACCCUUUGUCCCGGGCUGUCGGGCCUGUUCCCUGAGGACUGUUGAUGGAGUCCUAAUCACUGCUCCCUGGACUUUUGGCUGUGCUCUGCCUGAAUGAAUACCAUCGCCCAUUCAGCACAGCCUGUCCAACACGUGAUGUUUGUUGUCCUUUUGAAAGAGGGCAAUAUCCAGCCCCGAGGUAUCCCGGCCUUCAAGAAAAGCUCAGGUUUGGGCCUGGAAGGAAGUCCUCAUUGCAAAAUGUUCCUUGGGACAUGGAACUUAAACUUUUGUCACUGAGUUUGCUCCUAAUUUUCCGGAAUGACUCAAGUGUUUGCUUCAGACAAUGACAGAGUGUAUCUUGCUUGAAUCAUUGGAUUUCUGUUAUUUUUGUAAGAUGUGGGUGGGCAAUAUGACUCAGUAUUUUCCCAAAAGAUGUGAAAAUUAUAUUGCCUAUUUUGGAUCAUUUCAUGUUGAGAUCUGGAACAUUUUUCUUGAAUUUCAAAUCUUGGAGCUUGGGAAUUUUUUGUUUUUGUUGUGUCUUUCAAUCAUGUCAGAUCUUUUCCUGAUAAAAUUUUAAAGCAAAAUUACUUAGCAAUAGUUCUAAAUUAUGAAGUAGAUUUUGAAUGGUA